UGACACCGCGUCAGUCGGUCGCUUCGAUCGGUCGAAGAAACGUGUGAAACACGCUCGUUGCAGCGACACGGAACGUGGAAAUCGAGUGUGACGUUGAAGAAUUAGAUUUAUUGAACGGUGUUUGCGAUCGAAUGUCGUCGGACGACUUCCAAAGGAUUUAAUUCAGAGUGAACGAGAAUCCGAUUGUGCAAGUUUCACUUCCGAACAGCCGGAAGUGGGGCCGAAAGUAGUCCGUCGAGCGUACAAAGUAUCGACGCAAGAGGAUAAAAAAGAACUGUAAUUAAAAAAUGGCUGAGAACGAACAGAAAGAUAUUCCUGAAGAGGAAACAGACGAAGUGGAUGGAAAUGAGGAAUAUUGUGAAGAGAAAAAGCGAUCAAAAAGAAGCGUCAUUACUGUACCAGAUAGAGAAUACGAAAAAGACGGUGUUAAAUACAGAAAAGACCAAUUUGGCAAAUGGAGGCCAGUUAUUGAGAUAGAUUUUGAACAGGAAUAGAUUUCAGAGUAACUUGAUGGGAUUCAACCGAGAAUCAACGACAAUCUCGAGUGGAAUCACACUUUUCAAGCUGUGCUUUUAAUUUCCUUCCCUCCCUUUGAACCCCGGACGAAUGGAUUCUUAAACGCGACAGACAGCCCGAACGGCGUUGGAAUUUUCUGCAGGAAUGCGACGAAAAAGAAGAAAAGAGAGGAAGCGGGCACCGUCGACGUGAAAUCCCUUUUCCUUCGCGUCUUAGCUUUAUUGUAAAAAAUAAGAUAGCAACAUGAGAAACUGCUUUUUAUCUUAUUCCUAUUACGUUGAAAUAUUUUUCUAAAUAAGUGAAGAAAUAUUAUCAAUUUUAACAGGUUAUUGCGUUCGAAAUGGUUUAUCUUAAAAUACAGAUAUUCUGACAAAAUUUCACCACACAAAAGUAUUGCAAAAUGGUACCUUAAAAUUUAAAAUUGCAUUAAAAUAACUGCAUAUGGGAGUUAUUAAUAAUUCGAAUUACUAAAAGAAUAAUUAAAUUAUUCAGUGCUCUCUUGACGAAUUCCAAUAACGUUCCAGAAAAAAGGUUGUAAAUUAAAAUAAUUAAAAAUUAUUAUAAUUAAAAAUAAAAUUUUCCAUUAUAUAUUAUUUUCUUCCAUGAAACGUACAAUUUGAAAAAAUGUCUGGCUCUAAUGAAUACAUGCUUUAAUUAAUCACUACCUAUUACUUUCAGCGAAAUUAUAAAUUUUGCGAUUAAAUCAGCCAUUUCAUCAGCAAGAACCUGAUAAAAAAGAAUUAUUUGUUAAAAAUAUCUACAUGGAAGUUUCAUUUGCAUAAAUUCCAAAAUGCUGUUCAUUAAUCUUGCCUUUGCUUAAAUACAUUAACAAGACCGAUGA